rnacentral:rRNA from 1 species
UACGUAGGGCGCGAGCGUUGUCCGGAAUUAUUGGGCGUAAAGAGCUCGUAGGUGGCUUGUCGCGUCUGCCGUGAAAGCUCAUGGCUUAACUGUGGGUCUGCGGUGGAUACGGGCUGGCUAGAGGUAGGCAGGGGCAAGCGGAAUUCCUGGUGUAGCGGUGAAAUGCGCAGAUAUCAGGAAGAACACCGGUGGCGAAAGCGCUCUGCUAGGCCGCAACUGACACUGAGGGACGAAAGCUAGGGGAGCGAAUGGG